CCCGCUCAGAAACUCAAAUGAAUUGACGGGGGCCCGCACAAGCGGAGGAGCAUGUGGUUUAAUUCGAUGAUACGCGAGGAACCUUACCUGGGCUCGAACGUAAGAUGACUGUAGGUGAAAGCUUACAUCUCUUCGGAGCAUUUUACGAGGUGCUGCAUGGUUGUCGUCAGCUCGUGCCGUGAGGUGUCGGGUUAAGUCCCAUAACGAGCGCAACCCCUACCUUUAGUUGCCAUCAGGUAAUGCUGAGGACUCUAAAGGAACUGCCUACGCAAGUAGUGAGGAAGGCGGGGAUGACGUCAAAUCAGCACGGCCCUUACGUCCAGGGCUACACACGUGCUACAAUGGCCGAUACAGAGGGCAGCUACCUGGUGACAGGAUGCAAAUCUCCAAAGUCGGUCUCAGUUCGGAUCGGAGUCUGCAACCCGACUCCGUGAAGUUGGAUUCGCUAGUAAUCGCGCAUCAGCCAUGGCGCGGUGAAUACGUUCCCGGGCCUU
rnacentral:rRNA from 1 species